CAGCAGCCGCGGGAAUACGAAGGGGGCCAGCGUUGUUCGGAAUUACUGGGCGUAAGGCGCACGUAGGCGGAUUUUUAAGUCAGGGGUGAAAUCCCGAGGCUCAACCUCGGAACUGCCUUUGAUACUGGAGAUCUUGAGUUCGGAAGAGGUUGGUGGAACAGCUAGUGUAGAGGUGAAAUUCGUAGAUAUUAGCUAGAACACCAGUGGCGAAGGCGGCCAACUGGUCCGAUACUGACGCUGAGGCACGAAAGCGUGGGGAGCAAACAGGAUUAGAUACCCGUGUAGUCCCUGUCUCUUAUAC
rnacentral:rRNA from 1 species